UACGGAAGGGGCAAGCGUUGUUCGGAAUCAUUGGGCGUAAAGCGCGUGUAGGCGGUUCGGUAAGUCGGCUGUGAAAGUCCAGGGCUCAACCCUGGGAUGCCGGUCGAUACUGUCGGGCUAGAGCACGGUAGAGGCAGAUGGAAUUCCCGGUGUAGCGGUGGAAUGCGUAGAGAUCGGGAAGAACAUCAGUGGCGAAGGCGGUCUGCUGGGCCGUUGCUGACGCUGAGGCGCGACAGCGUGGGGAGCAAACAGG
rnacentral:rRNA from 1 species